rnacentral:rRNA from 1 species
GUCAAUGCUCGCAAGAGUGAACUAGCUAACUGAAAUCAUAUAACUCACUCUGUUGAGAAAUAUGAUAACGUAAGGGAAAAAAAUGAUAUUACCUUACUAUUAGUGUUGUCCAAAACUGGUGCCAGAAGACUCGGUAAGGCCAGAGACGCAAACGUUAGUCGUCCUAAUCAGGCGUAAAGGGUAUGUAGGCUGCUUUAAAAAUUUUAUCCCUUUAAAAAAAGCUCUAUAAUUGUAUAAACUAAAAUUUAUAUCUAUUAUAGUAAAUAUAAAAUGAAUUAAAGCUAGGAUCAAAUUGAGGAUAAACCAAAUAAUACUUAGUGUAGGGUUGAUAUCUAUAGAUACUAAGGGGAAUACUAAAGGUGAAAGCUUUUUAUCUAAUAAUGAUUGACGCUGAGAAACGAAGGUGAGAAUAGGAAAUAGGAUUAGAUACCCAGAUACCUCUCACUGUCAACGAUGAAUGGUGGUUGUUAGUUUUAAUAAAAACUGGUAACGAUGUUAACACGAUAACCAUUCCGCCUUGCGAGUACGGUUGCAAAACUGAAACCAAAAAAAUUAGUCGGUCUCGAAGCAAACGAAGUGAAGCAUGUUAUUUAU